AAUUGGGCUGGUAACUCCAUCUAAACUAAAUAUAACCAUGAGACCGAUAGCAAACAAGUACCGUGAGGGAAAGUUGAAAAGAACUCUGAAUAGAGAGUUAAAAAGUACGUGAAACUGCUUAGAGGUUAAACCCGAUGAACCUAAAUAUCCAGUAUGAGAAAGUCAUUAUUAUGAGUAUAUUAUUUUAUAAUGUAUUAAUAGUGUGCAUUUUUUUCAUAAAAAGGACAUUGUAAUCUGUUAAUACAAUUUAUAUAUUCUUUUAUAUAUUAUUUUUAUCAUAAAGAGUCAUGUAUAAGUUUACAUAUAAAUUAAUUAAUUUAUUAAUUAAUUGAUGUAAGAUCAAUGAGGUUCUACAGGAAUAAUUCUCAGUAUUAUUAUAUAUAAUGUUUACACCCUUUUUUAAGAUUUUUUUUACAAUUUCCCCCCGGGGCUCCGUUUGGGAUGGGGGUCCGGGGGUUUUAUUAAAAUUUGCAAGAGGAUUUAGGCCCCCUUUUGGGCGCCCCCACAAAAAAAAAAAAAAAAU
rnacentral:rRNA from 1 species